rnacentral:rRNA from 1 species
GUGCAUGCGGGAGCUAUACAUGCAAGUCGAGCGGACCGACGGGAGCUUGCUCCCUUAGGUCAGCGGCGGACGGGUGAGUAACACGUGGGUAACCUGCCUGUAAGACUGGGAUAACUCCGGGAAACCGGGGCUAAUACCGGAUGCUUGAUUGAACCGCAUGGUUCAAUUAUAAAAGGUGGCUUUUAGCUACCACUUACAGAUGGACCCGCGGCGCAUUAGCUAGUUGGUGAGGUAACGGCUCACCAAGGCGACGAUGCGUAGCCGACCUGAGAGGGUGAUCGGCCACACUGGGACUGAAACACGGCCCAGACUCCUACGGGAGGCAGCAGUAGGGAAUCUUCCGCAAUGGACGAAAGUCUGACGGAACAACGCCGCGUGAGUGAUGAAGGUUUUCGGAUCGUAAAACUCUGUUGUUAGGGAAGAACAAGUACCGUUCGAAUAGGGCGGUACCUUGACGGUACCUAACCAGAAAGCCACGGCUAACUACGUGCCAGCAGCCGCGGUAAUACGUAGGUGGCAAGCGUUGUCCGGAAUUAUUGGGCGUAAAGCGCGCGCAGGCGGUUUCUUAAGUCUGAUGUGAAAGCCCCCGGCUCAACCGGGGAGGGUCAUUGGAAACUGGGGAACUUGAGUGCAGAAGAGGAGAGUGGAAUUCCACGUGUAGCGGUGAAAUGCGUAGAGAUGUGGAGGAACACCAGUGGCGAAAGCGACUCUCUGGUCUGUAACUGACGCUGAGCGCGAAAGCGUGGGGAGCGAACAGAUUAGAUACCCUGGUAGUCCACGCCGUAACGAUGAGUGCUAAGUGUUAGAGGGUUUCCGCCCUUUACUGCUGCAACAACGCAUUAUGCACUCCGCCUGGGGAGUACGGUCGCAGGACUGAAACUCAAAGGAAUGACAGGGGCCCGCACAGCUGUGGAGCAUGUGGUUUCAGUACUAGCACGCGAGACUUACACGGCUGACAGCUCUGACUACCUAGAGAUAGCGUCCCUAUGGCAGAUGACCGUGUGCAUGGUGUCGCACCUCGUUCAGAAAUGUUAGCUA